rnacentral:other from 1 species
GUAUUCCUGAAGUGUACGCCAGCUUAUUGUUUUUACCCACAUUACAUAAUUCGGAGCUCGGGUCGUGGAACGGCUGUCAUGCCUCCGCAGAGUGGAAGACAAAAGUUUCUCGCAGGGCACCACCCUGCUUUACAUAGCGGGUGAAAAAACCGAGGCGAACGGCACUUUGGGGUACCU